rnacentral:rRNA from 1 species
UACGUAGGGGGCUAGCGUUGUCCGGAUUUAUUGGGCGUAAAGAGCGUGUAGGCGGCUAGAUAGGUCCGUUGUGAAAACUCGAGGCUCAACCCCGAGACGUCGAUGGAAACCAUCUGGCUAGAGUCCGGAAGAGGAGAGUGGAAUUCCUGGUGUAGCGGUGAAAUGCGCAGAUAUCAGGAAGAACACCCGUGGCGAAGGCGGCUCUCUGGUACGUGACUGACGCUGAGACGCGAAAGCGUGGGGAGCAAACAGG